rnacentral:rRNA from 1 species
AGAGUUUGAUCAUGGCUCAGAACGUACGCUGGCGGCACGCCUAACACAUGCAAGUCGAACGCAGUAGCAAUACUGAGUGGCAAACGGGUGAGUAUAAUGUGGGAAUCUGCCUUUUGGUUUGGAAUAACACGGGGAAACUUGUGCUAAUACCGAAUAAGCCCUUACGGGGAAAGUUUUAAUGCCGAAAGAUGAGCCCGCACUUGAUUAGCUAGUUGGUGAGGUAAUGGCUCACCAAGGCUUCGAUCAGUAGCUGGUCUGAGAGGAUGAUCAGCCACACUGGGACUGAGACACGGCCCAGACUCCUACGGGAGGCAGCAGUGGGGAAUUUUCCGCAAUGGGCGAAAGCCUGACGGAGCAACGCCGCGUGAGGGACGAAGGCCUCUGGGCUGUAAACCUCUUUUCUCAAGGAAGAAGAUAUGACGGUACUUGAGGAAUAAGCCACGGCUAAUUCCGUGCCAGCAGCCGCGGUAAUACGGGAGUGGCAAGCGUUAUCCGGAAUUAUUGGGCGUAAAGCGUCCGCAGGCGGCUUUUCAAGUCUGCUGUUAAAGCGUGGAGCUUAACUCCAUCAUGGCAGUGGAAACUGAAAGGCUUGAGUAUGGUAGGGGCAGAGGGAAUUCCCGGUGUAGCGGUGAAAUGCGUAGAUAUCGGGAAGAACACCAGUGGCGAAGGCGCUCUGCUGGGCCAUUACUGACGCUCAUGGACGAAAGCCAGGGGAGCGAAAGGGAUUAGAUACCCCUGUAGUCCUGGCCGUAAACGAUGAACACUAGGUGUCGGGGGAAUCGACCCCUUCGGUGUCGUAGCUAACGCGUUAAGUGUUCCGCCUGGGGAGUACGCACGCAAGUGUGAAACUCAAAGGAAUUGACGGGGGCCCGCACAAGCGGUGGAGUAUGUGGUUUAAUUCGAUGCAACGCGAAGAACCUUACCAGGGUUUGACAUCCUGCGAACCUCUUAGAAAUUUGAGGGUGCCUUCGGGAAUGCAGUGACAGGUGGUGCAUGGCUGUCGUCAGCUCGUGUCGUGAGAUGUUGGGUUAAGUCCCGCAACGAGCGCAACCCACGUUUUUAGUUGCCAGCAUUUAGUUGGGCACUCUAGAAAGACCGCCGGUGAUAAACCGGAGGAAGGUGUGGAUGACGUCAAGUCAUCAUGCCCCUUACACCCUGGGCUACACACGUACUACAAUGCUACGGACAAAGGGCAGCAAACUCGCGAGAGCUAGCAAAUCCCAUAAACCGUGGCUCAGUUCAGAUCGUAGGCUGCAACUCGCCUACGUGAAGUAGGAAUCGCUAGUAAUCGCAGGUCAGCAUACUGCGGUGAAUACGUUCCCGGGCCUUGUACACACCGCCCGUCACACCAUGGAAGUUGGCCAUGCCCGAAGUCGUUACUCCAACCCUUGUGGAGGAGGACGCCGAAGGUGGGGCUAAUGACUGGGG